CACAAUCUACUCUAUAUGCAGUUUUUAAGUUUCGCGGAUUUUGCGCACCAAUCUUCGCACGACGACGAACAUCUCUUUGGGAAUCGGGGAUUUUGUUUUCUUGUUCUUCCGCUGCGCAUGUGAUGUCGCCCCCAAGAUUUCCCAACAUAUUCUACCAAAUGUUUCACUAAAGUCAUUGGUAAACAGUUCUGCGUCCGGCCAUAUUAAAUUCUUUUGAGCAAGAAUGAGUGAUUUUUUAAUUUUUGUUUCCAUGAGAAUAGCAAUAUCACAUGCGGCAGACUUGAUUAUUCUGUUGAGCUCCCGAUAUUUUUCAGGCUUAUUAAUUCUACGAACAUUCCAGCAGAUUAUCUUCAUCAUAAAAAGAAAAUAAAUGGAAAAGAAAGUAAGGUAUUCACGACUUUAAAUAGAUAGUACCAUCUUUUUUCUUAUCCUUAGGUUUUGCAUUUUCCUCCUGCAUAAUAUCUUUAACUUUUGAGGCUUUAUUUCUAUAUUUAUCCACUUCAUCCACAACUAUCAAAUUUUUAAACUUUAUACCUUGAGUCUGUUAGGAUCGGAGCGGCACUAAAAGGCGAGGGGGUGAAUUAGUGCAGCG
rnacentral:lncRNA from 1 species